CGCACAAAGCCCAAUUCAAGGGAUUUCAUUUGUUUGCUUGCAGGCUUCAGGAUCUGUGAGCUCCGAGGGAGGACGAAAUGGAUCGCAAGCCUGGAAUCCAAAAGCCGAGAUGGACUCGGGCCAUGCUGGACCUCAUCCUGUGUUUAGAGAUCCCACAAGCAGGCGCGGAAGUGCACCGGAGUCCUUCAGCUCCUCAAUAUCAUCCAUCACUAUCACUUCCAGGAAGGUCACACAGAUUUCCAAGCCUUUGUGUCCGGCGAUGAAUGACCUCGCCGAUAGACGAAGAAAAGCCUUAGUGGUCAAAGUCACCGAACAGAGAACGAAAAGUACCACCAGCCGGCCCAUCGUCUCGACCUCUGGCUGUGAUCAUGAAGAGAUCGACCACGGUGUGGUACUGAGGAGAAAGACAGCCAUUGUGAAAAUGACUGAACAGAGAGAGCGUUUCAGUCCAUCACAAUACAGACACAGCUACACUGAAGGACUCAACGAAGCCCAGUUAACGAAUGAAUCUAAACGGAUGAACCAAACACUAACUAUAUCUUUAGAGCCAGGAGGAAACCAAUGGAGGUCCCAGCACAGAUCUAGCCUGUCUCUUUACCUCAACAACCCAAAUACAAGCAGCACAGCAGGGGAGAGUGACACCAAAAAACACAAGCCACCUCGAAGGCCUCUCAGCUGCGACGCAAGCUUGUUUAACUGCACAGAGCUUGGCACUAAUGCAGUUACACAUCCAGCGUUUCACAACAAGAGCUCUCCUGUUUCCCAGAAGACAAAUAUUGACCUUGUUAGUUCCAGCAGCAGCGAAGCAAGAAGGCGCUCGGCCUCCGGUGGCGAGGACAGGAGCGCAAGCAAAGAGCGAUUGGAGUGGGAUCGAAGGCUUGAGGAGCGAGAGGAACCUAUUUCAGGAAUCAAACCUCUCACGCUACUAAAAGCAGCAGAUAACUCGACUGAUCUGAGCGCAGACGCCGUCCUGGCCUUGAACGCCGCUGCGGUUAUCGCCAACAUAAAGCUGCAGGCCCAGCAGAGACGAACUAUAUCCCACACAGCAACAGC
rnacentral:lncRNA from 1 species